AUUGAACGCUGGCGGCAUGGAUUAGGCACGCAAGUCGAGCGAGAAGUGUAGCAAUACACGGAAAGCGGCGGAAGGGAGAGUAAUACGUGGGAAUCUGCCCUUAGACCUGGGAUAGCAGCGGGAAACUGCUGGUAAUACCAGAUAUGUCUAUGGACCAAAGGUGUGAUUCCGUCUAGGGAUGAGCCCACGUCCUAUUAGCUAGUUGGUAGGGUAAUGGCCUACCAAGGCGAUGAUGGGUAGCGGGUGUGAGAGCAUGACCCGCCUCACUGGGACUGGGACACUGCCCAGACACCUACGGGUGGCUGCAGUCGAGAAUCUUCGGCAAUGGGCGCAAGCCUGACCGAGCGAUGCCGCGUGCGGGAUGAAGGCCUUCGGGUUGUAAACCGCUGUCGAGGGGGAGCAACUUCCAUAGAGUUAUCUUUAUGGAUUGAGUGAUCCCUGGAGGAAGGACGGGCUAAGUUCGUGCCAGCCGCCGCCGUAACAC
rnacentral:rRNA from 1 species